rnacentral:rRNA from 1 species
AGUUCAAGAGUACGUGAAACCGUUCAGGGGUAAACCUGAGAAACCCGAAAGGUCGAACGGGGAGAUUCAACCGCGUCUCGGAACCUCACGCCGGCGAGCGGCGGACCGGCGACGGGCGGCGUUCGCGCCGACCCGCGCGGACCGCCGACGAACCGGCGCCGAACGCGUGCACUUCUCCCCUUGUAGGACGUCGCGACCCGUCGGGCGCCGGCCUAAAGGCCCCGGUGGGACCCGAACGCGCACGUCGCGUUCGGACCCGCGGUGUUCCCGGCCGGCACGACCGACGGUACGACUGUGGCGCGGGGCCGCGACCAGCUCGCGUCCGGCCUCCCGCAAGCGCGGGCGGCAAACCCGACGUCCGGACUCUGCGCCGGACCCGGGCCCGCCCGGCUGCUGGCGGCGAGUGUCCUCGGACAGACCCCGUACACGCCCGU